ACCGUCGUGGCACAAUUGGUUUAGCGCGCUCGGCUUUUAUCGUAUAAAUACGUAUUUAAACCGAGAGGUUCGGGGUUCGAGCCCCCGCGAUGGUG